rnacentral:rRNA from 1 species
CCUACGGGGGGCAGCAGUGAGGAAUAUUGGUCAAUGGACGAGAGUCUGAACCAGCCAAGUAGCGUGAAGGAUGACUGCCCUAUGGGUUGUAAACUUCUUUUAUAAAGGAAUAAAACGAGGCACGUGUGCCUUUUUGCAUGUACUUUAUGAAUAAGGAUCGGCUAACUCCGUGCCAGCAGCCGCGGUAAUCCGGAGGAUCCGAGCUUUAUCCGGAUUUAUUGGGUUUAACGGGAGCGUAGCUGGGUUGUUAAGUAAGUUGUGAAAGUUUGCGGCUCAACCGUAAAAUUGCAAUUGCUACUGGCAGUCUUGAGUACAGUUGAGGUAGGCGGAAUUCGUUGUGUAGCGGU